AUCACAUGACAAGACAAAACUCCACAUCAAAAACCCUAAAAGAAACAGAGAGGAGACACACAGACAAACAAGCUUCUUCCAAGUUGAUCAUCAAUGGCGUCAAUUGUUCUUCUACUCACUCAAAUCCUUCACCCUACUAACCCUGAAUUCCCUUCUUCUACCUCCAUGAUUCUCACAUCAUCUUCUUCUUUUUCUUCGUCUACCUAUUACACACAUGAAGAGAAAUCUCCAAUAGCCACAGGACUCGACAGUUUCAAGAUCUCACCUCUUCACGAAGAUCCUCAAGAUUCAAGAGUUAUGAUCGAUUUGUUUUAAACUUAACCCAUCUCUCUAUCUCUCUUAUGCUUUGUGUAUCUUUUUUUUUGUUUACCCUUUUUGGCCACGAAUUGUAGUAAUACUUAUGAGAAAAUCAAUGAAACCUUCACAAACGUAAGUGUAAUCUUAGUAUCUAAUUGUUUUUUUUUUUUUAAUUCUAUUCUUGUUACUUGAAAUUAUUGAAUUUGGUUGCAAGCGCCUCCACACACCAACCCAAUGCUACUACACCAACAACAUAAUUGCCACCCAACAACUCUUACUCCCAAGUACAAUCCACUGCUUCUGGCUGCAAAGGGACCAAAAUAUGUCAACUUUGAUAUUUGUUCCUCGUAGUCUCAAGAAACUUGUUUAUUACCUUUGAUAAGAUCGCCGGUGUUGGUAGCUCCACCGAUGUGUUCAGAUUGCCUCGAGUAUGAGACAAGAUACAGCUGCAACUGGAGGAUAGUAAAUUUUGAGAGAGCGCUUCGAUUAUCAAAAUUACCCCUUCCCUUCAAUCACUACACUUUGGCUCUGUACAGAGACUAUAUCCCCUCUGCAAUUUCAUAAGGAGCUUAGUAAAUUGAGAGCUUCCAAGACACACCUUAACUCGACAACAACAUAACCGGCCUCUCUCGAUUUCUCAUUUUACAUCACAAACCCUCGGCAAAAUUGGAUCUCCCAAGAUCAUUAUCCUCAUCCUUUCAAGCCAUUAUCUAACCAGAAGGGCUAAAUCCCCUAAACCAAAGACAGACCAAACUAAAUUCGUUUCAGAAUCAAAUCUAGUGAAUCAAACCUAUUAAAUCAAAUCUACAACAUCGAAUUGCAUCACAAGUGAACAACUACGACAACUCUAGAACAGCGAGUAAAAAAUGAAGGAUCAAGACAGUACCACCACCAUGGCUGCGUUGCCGCCGGCCGGAUAAGUGAGAUAUUUCAGUGGCGAUCCGGACUAGGCCAGUUUUUGUCAACACUCUAAAGAACCUUCUACAAUAGCUAGAGGUUUUGAGAUGAAAUAAACAACGGCC
rnacentral:lncRNA from 1 species